ensembl:lncRNA
GACUCAGCUUCACCAAGGGACAAAGGAGGAAGCAGAAGCAUACAUCACUACUUUCCCUGGGAGGUAUAAUCUGGAACAGAAUAUGUGCUAAUUAAAUGCUAAUAGUUCUAAAUAAAAGAUGUGGUAAUUUUUCUGAAAUAAUUAGGACUAGCCACCAGCACAGCACCAAGGGUGUGAUCAUUACCCCAUGCCGCCCUCCAUUCCACAUGGAGAAAAUCUCAUUUUCCCAAGGAAAUGAUUUCUUCAGUUCGAAUUAUGCCAGGCACAAUAAAUAUUACAGUCACUUCUCAAGGAAAACCAUAUCAAGCCUUCCGAGCUCUUUUUGGAGUAACAGUCACUACACUGUACUUGUUUGUAGAGAAAAAAACAACAAAAAUGCAGUCUGUACAUCCUACUCAUCGAGAAUGGUGUACCAGUCUGAAUCAAUCCCUCUUUAUGGUUGGAGGCACCAGUGGCAAGGCCCCAUGUUUUCCUUGAAGGCGAUGGAGGAGCCAGCGGGGCUGGUGCUGCAGUGGCUUGCUGCAUGCCAUUCUGCAGCUUAGGAGGGCUCUGGAUUCAGAAGGGUAUCAGGAGGGUAGAGAAGGGCUGUAGUCCUGAUUUUGUUCUGGGAAAAGCAUCUAGUUCACUGACAGAAGAUUAAGGCACAGUGUUUCCUUCCAUCUGCUGCUGAUUAAUGCAAUUCAAGGUCAUGAGAACUUUUAGUUAAGAAUUUCUUGAUUUUUUUUUUUUAACAUCUGUGUCACUUAAUUGGGUUAAUGUAACUCUAAAAUUUAAUUGGAUUAACGUAAGUACAUAAAUCAUGAAGUACUCGCUUCACAAAGGUUAACAGCAGUACAUUGGUUCUCACAGAUAAAACAGAUUUCACAAGUUCAGUUCUGAUUUCAUUUGUACUCUUUAAAAUUACCUCCUGUACAAAUUACUAUUAUUCCCUUAUGAUGAACCCAACUACAUGCAUUGAAGAGGCAAGUGAUGGAUUGAGCCAAUCAGCAUCUUCCACAUCAAUUCCAGUACUCAAAGAAUUGUUGGAUUUUUACGUAGGGUUCCUGAAAGUAAUGCUUCCUUGUUUCCACAGGUACCAUAACAGCACAAAAACACUAUAGGAUAGAGCAAAUUCUCAGAUACAAAACACCGUUUUUCAGUGUAGUCACUACCAUUAGUUGUGCAUUUUCACCAGCAAUGAACAAGAGCCUGCAUGCUGCACUCAAAAAUCUGCACCAGUGGAGGCGACCCACUGUCACUGUUGCCACUGCUGAAGUGCACACCACUCACUGCCUCACUCUGCUUAUAUCCACUAUUUGGUCUCCAGAAUUGUUCAGCAAGCAUCAGCAAAUGUCAGUGUGUUCCUUCCACCCCGACCCCCCCCCGGCCUCCCCCAUCCUUGCAUAGAGGAAUUCCAUUCCACAGUUUUGAAUCACAUGCACUUCCAUGUCAGACAUCAUUUUGUCAGACUGCCCCCCUCCGCUGCCAUCUGUCACACAGCAACAACAUGUAAUGGAAUAUUGGUGGGAAGGUUCAACCUCUACUGCCAUACCACCAGAAUCUGCCUGUGACAUCAUGGGCCAACAUAAUAAAAUAGGGGACAUUACUUUUGGUGUGGCCCUCAUAAUUACCAAUUGGCCUCUCUAAUUUCUAGCUGCUACCUCUUGCUUUGCCUUUCUCCAAUGUAAGGCAUGUUAGAGAGUCUGAGCAUUUAUACAUGGGUUAGUGAACCCCUGGUUUCAAAAGGUACCCUCACAGAAGUGCAGUGCUGGACAUAGAGGAUGCUUGCAUACACAAGAUUUCUGAUUUCUCUCAUUUUAAGGUUGGGACUUGAGGUUCUUAGGCUCCAAUAUAUUUCCACUUGUUACACUGCAAAAUUUCUCUUAAUUCAGAGAACAAUUUUUAUGAUUGCUCUGUUUUUGGCCAGCCUGUAAAAGACCAUAAUAUAUUGUUUUUCCCUAACGACUACUGGGAUUUUCUAAUAAAUCUAACGGCUAAAUU